rnacentral:lncRNA from 1 species
CGUCUUGGUGUCGAGGGAGUAGCACACUGCCUUUCAAGGAAGUCUAUUUGGUUCGUCGCUUGGCUUGUUCUUUCGCUGGUCUGGUCCUCCACUGCCUCCAGAUGCGUCUAUUAGGACUCCUUGUGGCACUCCUUUGCCUCUUGAGUGCCACCAACGCCAUUUUCCCUCUUCCCCGUGGCAAUGGAUUCAAUGUCCGUCAGACCCUCAGGAGAGGUCGUCCGGCAAGAGGAGGAGGACGACCACGACCAUAUGUCUUCGACGACUUCUUUAGAGGAAGAUAGAUGAAAAAAGAAAUAUAUGGUUGGUAAGACGAAUAAAUGUUGCAGUUUCCCCUGCAACGUCUGCUGAACCUUUUCCCGUUUUCUGUGAUCUCCGUUUUCUAUAUGUGGAUUUUGUAUCUUCUGAUGUGAAUAAAUAAUUUACGCUUAA